rnacentral:rRNA from 1 species
UACGUAGGGAGCAAGCGUUGUCCGGAAUCAUUGGGCGUAAAGCGCGCGUAGGCGGCCCUGUAAGUCCGUUGUGAAAGUCAAAGGCUCAACCUUUGAAAGCCGAUGGAUACUGCAGGGCUAGAGUCCGGAAGAGGCGAGUGGAAUUCCCGGUGUAGCGGUGAAAUGCGCAGAUAUCGGGAGGAACACCAAUGGCGAAGGCAGCUCGCUGGGACGGUAUUGACGCUGAGACGCGAAAGCGUGGGGAGCAAACAGG